GACGUAGGGUGCCAGCGUUGUUCGGAAUUACUGGGUGUAAAGGGUUCGUAGGCGGUGUGGCAAGUCGGGAGUGAAAUCUCUGGGCUCAACCCAGAGUCUGCUUCCGAAACUGCUGUGCUUGAGUGUGGGAGAGGCGCGUGGAAUUGCAGGUGUAGCGGUGAAAUGCGUAGAUAUCCGGAGGAACACCGGUGGCGAAGGCGGCUUCCUGGACCGAUUACUGACGCUGAGGCGCGAAAGCUAGGGGAGCAAACGGG
rnacentral:rRNA from 1 species